ensembl:snRNA U6 U6 spliceosomal RNA
GUACUCGUUUCAGAAGCACAUAUACAAAAAUUGGAACAAUACAGAGAAAAACGGCAUGGUCCCUGCACAAGAAUGAGAUGCAAAUUCAUGAACUUUUCCAUAUUUUA